rnacentral:rRNA from 1 species
AUGGGGCCCGCAUGUCAUUUGCUUGGGCUGGGCGCGUCCCGUGCGGCCCGUCGGCGUGCUCGGCUGGUAAAAGAUCCCAUGCCACCGCCGAAAUUUCCCUGCCCCGCCGAGGGUAUUUUGGGGUUUUCCGGUGGUGGCACUGUGCGUGUUGUGCGCUGGUUGAUGAGGGAGUCCAUGAGGUGGGGGCGGGCGGCUGGCUUGCCCCUUCGAGCACCCCAUUCGUCCCCUCCUCCCUUGUCUUCUCCACUCGACGCCGGCUCGCCUCCCCUUCGAUUUGCCGUCGUUCUCAGGUGGAUCCACCCCAAUAGCUCAGGCAGCGGUCUGAUCCGGCGAUCCCUUCCUCCAACUCGCGCCGGACGUCACCCGGAGUGGAGAGGAGAGGCAGAUCCCGCUGCCACCGGCGAUCUCCCUCCCUCCCUCCUCAGAUGGACGGACGGGGCAACACCGCCUGAAACCCUAGCCCCGCCCCUCACCCACCCAUGGAUGGACGGAUGGGGACGGGGUGACGACGGCGGCAGCUUCUUUACUGCCGUGGCGGCAGCGGCGGCCCUCGACACCGAUGAACGCUGGUUCUUCCUCCUCAUCCACGACGCCCAUCUCCGGCCAUGGCGACCUCGGAUCUCCGGCCCUGGUUGGUUCCCUCCUGUCCUCCCUCCCCUUGUCUUCUCUGUUUCUUCAUCUCCCCUCCCUCUCGUUCAUCCUGUCUUUGAUUUGUUUUGUUUUGUGUGCAGGUUGCUCAGAUGUUGCUGCUGCUGCUGCUGCAGGUGGACGUGCUAUAAAGGUCAGGGAAGAAUAGUGCAACAUGGAUUCAUAAACCCAUGGUGGGUGGAUGGUGAGCUGUUGGUACUCAAUGGCAAGUGUUACAUAUAUGUGAUGAUUUCUGACUUGACUUAUGCUAUCUCCUUGGUCCUCUGCAUGUUCUGGUUGUUGACAAGCAGGCAAUUUGGAUGA